CAUUAAGAAGCUAUGCACCAGCACUAGCCUUUUAAGCUAGAGAAAGAGGACACUUUUCCCCUCCUUAAUGG
rnacentral:tRNA from 2 species